rnacentral:rRNA from 1 species
UACAGAGGGGGCAAGCGUUAUUCGGAAUUAUUGGGCGUAAAGGGCGCGUAGGCGGCCUGGCAAGUGGAAGGUGAAAUCCCUCGGCUUAACCGAGGAACUGCCCUCCAAACUGCUUGGCUUGAGUCCGGGAGAGGUGAGUGGAAUUCCCAGUUGUAGCGGUGAAAUGCGUAGAUAUUGGGAGGAACACCAGUGGCGAAGGCGGCUCACUGGACCGGAACUGACGCUGAGGCGCGAAAGCGUGGGAGCAACGGG